UGGGGGAUAUUGCACAAUGGGCGAAAGCCUGAUGCAGCGACGCCGCGUGGGGGAUGAAGGCCUUCGGGUUGUAAACUUCUUUUGCUCCGAACAAGGCAUGCCUUUGGGGUGUGUUGAGUGUAGGGGUUGAUUAGCGCCGGCUAACUACGUGCCAGCAGCCGCGGUAAUACGUAGGGCGCGAGCGUUGUCCGGAAUUAUUGGGCGUAAAGGGCUUGUAGGUGGCUGGUUGCGUCUGUCGUGAAAGCUCAUGGCUUAACUGUGGGUUUGCGGUGGGUACGGGCUGGCUUGAGUGCAGUAGGGGAGGCUGGAAUUCCUGGUGUAGCGGUGGAAUGCGCAGAUAUCAGGAGGAAUACCGGUGGCGAAGGCGGGUCUCUGGGCUGUUACUGACGCUGAGGAGCGAAAGCGUGGGGAGCGAACAGG
rnacentral:rRNA from 1 species